CAAAAAAGACAAAACCCCAGAACCAAAAGAGAAGUUCUAAGUUCAUCUCUUCACCCCGCAGUCCCCGCCGUCUGUUCUUUUCCCUUCGGAAACCUAACUACCCGAGGAGACUCUAACUUAGAAGAAGAAGAAGAAACGAGGAUAUUGAGUGAGUUUACAUCCUACUGGUUUUUGUUCAAGUUUAUAUCUGGUCCCUAAAAAAUUGAUUUUGGAGACCAAAAUUGAACAUGUGAUUUGAUAUAUUGUUUAAGGUAGAAAUUGGGAAGGAAUAAUUUUGAUUAGUUUGAUUACAUGGAAGUGGUUUCCUAAUUCACUUCUUCAAAACUUUCUCUCUGUUAUUUUGCAAGACAAACCUAAGAGGAGAUCGAAGAAGAAGAAGAAGAUAUCAAAUUAAACAAAAGCAAACAGUGCAUCAAGAACCGAAAAAUCAAAACAAUGGAGAUUGGUCAAUGAUGCUACAACUACGCAAGAAAAGAAAAUGAAGUUGCCAACAUACUAUAAGAAAGAAGAUUAGGAGAAGUUCAUUGAUAACAAAACUUCUGAAAAAUUGCAGAUAAAAUCUGAACAGGCAGCUAAAGCACAUCGGAAGUGAAGGCUCAGUAUACAGGUGGUAGGAAAGGUGUACCUAGAAGGUGGCUUGAAAUGUUAAAUUCUUAACACUAUAUAGCAUUUUUGAGCCAUUAUUCUUAACACUAUCACUGGCAGCUGCAAAACUAACAUUGGUGAAGGAGGCAUAUGAUAAAGAUCCUUUAGCACAAAAGUGUUUGAGCACCGAUGCUGAUACCAAGAUAUUUGGCGUCGAUCGAAAGGGUUUACAUAUGCGGAUUGGGUACAGGUGUCUAAAUCUCAAUUUCUUGCUCUUGAGUUUAUGAGGGCCAAGUUGCAGGAAGAGAAGCACAAUGUGGUGAAGAGAAUCAGAAAAACAAAGCUUUGAAAGCACAGUUGGAUGCUGAAAGACAGAAAAAUAAUACUGGAGUACAUUAUCAGAUAUCUAAUAGCACUCUUACCAGCAGGACAUUGGGAUGCCAGUAGUACCCUCGUCGUUUGGUCUUUGCUUUUUGAGGAACUUAAGGAAAAAGCCGGUUGCAGUUGCAUAUGUCGACACUAAGGUGUUGACUGAUGACAAAGAUGAUGUUGUACUUCGGGAUGUUUCAAUAGGUGAGUGGCCAAAGGCCUAUGUGACUCCCCAAGGAGAGAGGUCAAGUUAGAGUGGUAAUGACAGUAGAUUGAUUACUUUCUUUUUUUGUAAUUUUCAAAGGGUUGCAGGGAUGUCUUCCGAUUUGUAUUCGAAUAUCUAUUUUCUCUAAUAAUAAAGUUAAUUUUAAAUUGUGC